AGUGAACGCUGGCGGUAGGCCUAACACAUGCAAGUCGAACGGCAGCACAGUAAGAGCUUGCUCUUACGGGUGGCGAGUGGCGGACGGGUGAGGAAUACAUCGGAAUCUACUUUUUCGUGGGGGAUAAUGUAGGGAAACUUACGCUAAUACCGCAUACGACCUACGGGUGAAAGUAGGGGAUCUUCGGACCUUGCGCGAUUGAAUGAGCCGAUGUCGGAUUAGCUAGUUGGCGGGGUAAAGGCCCACCAAGGCGACGAUCCGUAGCUGGUCUGAGAGGAUGAUCAGCCACACUGGAACUGAGACACGGUCCAGACUCCUACGGGAGGCGGCAGUGGGGAAUAUUGGACAAUGGGCGCAAGCCUGAUCCAGCCAUACCGCGUGGGUGAAGAAGGCCUUCGGGUUGUAAAGCCCUUUUGUUGGGAAAGAAAAGCAGCAGGUUAAUACCCCGCUGUUCUGACGGUACCCAAAGAAUAAGCACCGGCUAACUUCGUG
rnacentral:rRNA from 1 species